CGCGCGCGUGUGCGUGUGUGUGUGUGUGUGUGUGUAUUAUGUGCCUAACCUCUCUAUUCCCGCGUGUUUACACACACGCACACACGCGCGCGCA